CACGAAAGUGGACGUAUACGGUGUGACGCCUGCCCGGUGCUGGAAGGUUAAUUGAUGGGGUUAGCGCAAGCGAAGCUCCUGAUCGAAGCCCCAGUAAACGGCGGCCGUAACUAUAACGGUCCUAAGGUAGCGAAAUUCCUUGUCGGGUAAGUUCCGACCUGCACGAAUGGCGUAAUGAUGGCCAGGCUGUCUCCACCCGAGACUCAGUGAAAUUGAACUCGCUGUGAAGAUGCAGUGUACCCGCGGCAAGACGGAAAGACCCCGUGAACCUUUACUAUAGCUUGACACUGAACAUUGAGCCUUGAUGUGUAGGAUAGGUGGGAGGCUUUGAAGUGUGGACGCCAGUCUGCAUGGAGCCAACCUUGAAAUACCACCCUUUAACGUUUGAUGUUCUAACCUAGGCCCGUGAUCCGGGUCGGGGACCGUGUCUGGUGGGUAGUUUGACUGGGGCGGUCUCCUCCUAAAGAGUAACGGAGGAGCACGAAGGUUGGCUAAGCAUGGUCGGACAUCAUGCGGUUAGUGCAAAGGCAUAAGCCAGCUUGACUGCGAGAGUGACGGCUCGAGCAGGUACGAAAGUAGGUCUUAGUGAUCCGGUGGUUCUGAAUGGAAGGGCCAUCGCUCAACGGAUAAAAGGUACUCCGGGGAUAACAGGCUGAUACCGCCCAAGAGUUCAUAUCGACGGCGGUGUUUGGCACCUCGAUGUCGGCUCAUCACAUCCUGGGGCUGAAGUAGGUCCCAAGGGUAUGGCUGUUCGCCAUUUAAAGUGGUACGCGAGCUGGGUUUAGAACGUCGUGAGACAGUUCGGUCCCUAUCUGCCGUGGGCGUUGGAAGAUUGAGAGGGGUUGCUCCUAGUACGAGAGGACCGGAGUGAACGCACCACUGGUGUUCGGGUUGUCAUGCCAAUGGCAUUGCCCGGUAGCUAAGUGCGGAAGAGAUAACCGCUGAAAGCAUCUAAGCGGGAAACUUGCCUCGAGAUG
rnacentral:rRNA from 1 species